UACGUAGGUGGCAAGCGUUGCCCGGAAUUAUUGGGCGUAAAGGGCAUGUAGGCGGUGAUAUAAGUCUGUCAUGAAAGUGCGGGGCUCAACCCCGUAUGGCGAUGGAAACUGUGUUACUUGAGUGCAGGAGAGGAAAGGGGAACUCCCAGUGUAGCGGUGAAAUGCGUAGAUAUUGGGAAGAACACCGGUGGCGAAGGCGCCUUUCUGGCCUGUGUCUGACGCUGAGAUGCGAAAGCCAGGGUAGCGAACG
rnacentral:rRNA from 1 species